GUGCCUACAAAGAAGACCAACAUCAGCAUUACACCAUCUGUGCAGGCAAAGCGUCCCAUGAUUAUUUUAUUAUAUUUUUAACCCAACCCAAGUUCAGAUAUUCUAUAUUUCUCCUCAUCCCUUUUGGAUUCUCGCUCGGUCUAUAAUAUGCAUAUGCUAAUCACACAGGCACUUGUUUGGUUGUUCCACAAAAAGAUAGAUAACAACAGCGCAUAGCCUUUUUGUUUUUCUUUUAUUUUCUUUUCUUUAUGGUUGUUGUUGUGUGAAUUAUUAGCAGAAGAAGGUGCAAAUGAAAUUCGGGAAGGAAUUCAGGAUCCACCUGGAGGAGACCCUGCCAGAGUGGAGGGAUAAGUUUCUGUGUUACAAGCCCCUGAAGAAGCUCCUCAAGCACUUCCCAGCAACCGCUACAGCUGUUGACUCUCUCCCUCCUCAACUCGCUUUUUAUCUUCAUCCCCAUCUUCAACCCCCAACACAUAUCAAUCAUCAUGCUGUUGAUCCUACCACCUCCCACUUGAUGGACCUACAAGGAUGGUUCGUUAGGAUUCUCAAUGAAGAGCUCGACAAGUUCAAUGAUUUUUACGUUGAUAAAGAGGAAGAGUUUGUCAUCCGUUUUCAGGAGCUGAAAGAAAGAAUAGAGCGAGUUAAGGAAAGGAGCAACAAAGAUGGAGUUUUUACAUCGGAGAGUGAGUUCGGUGAAGAAAUGAUGGACAUUCGUAGAGACUUUGUCAGCAUUCAUGGGGAGAUGGUGCUUCUCCAAAAUUAUAGUUCCCUAAAUUUUGCAGGUCUAGUUAAAAUUCUGAAAAAGUAUGAUAAACGAACUGGGGGAUUGUUAUGUCUACCUUUCACACAGCUUGCUCUCCAUCAGCCUUUCUUUACUAUAGAACCUCUCACACGGCUGGUCCGUGAAUGCGAGGCAAAUAUUGAGAUUCUCUUUCCACUGGAAGCAGAAGUCAUUGAAGCUACUCCAACCACACAAGACAAGUUGGACCAACCGUUGAAUGAUACAGCAAAUACCUUAUCCAAGACGCCUUCAAACCUUGGGGAGGAAACAGUGGAUAUAUACCGUGGCACUCUUGCUGCAAUGAGAGCUAUAAAAGGUCUUCAAAAAGCAAGCUCCACUUACAAUCCAUUAUCCAUUUCAUCCCUAAUUAGGAACCAGGAUGAUGAGGGUACUGGUGCUGUAACAGCUGAAAACUCUGCUUCGAACUCUGCCGCCACCUUCCAGAAUGGAGAAGAUUCUGACCAAGAGGCACAUUCUGUGUAAAAGGGAUUCGUCUUAUUGCCUGCUCUGUUCUUUAAAUUUCAUAUAGCAGGUUGGAAUUGGAUAACAGGCUCGUACAGCCAUGUAAAUCAUCGCACCAUUAAUAAGCUUUGAUGGUGCAAGCUGAAGUAUUUUGAAGCCCUGGGAUCAUAUAUCCUAUAAGGUUCUCUGCGACCCUCAAUCCCUGUUUCACCAUUUUAGACUAGUUGAAGAAGGAAACUGUGUCGGUUACCAUUAAAUUCUUUUUGACUGCCUCUUGGAUCCCAUUUUCAAUUAAUUUCUAUCUCCAAAAGAGUCCUGCAUCGUGAACUUAGUUGUCUGAGCCGGACAUUUCUAUCUCCAAAAGAGUCCUGCAUCGUGAACUUAGUUGUCUGAGCCGGACAUUAAAUUCUUGGCCCACUUAUUGAUGGAAAAUACAAGGAGAUGCUUAGCCCACUUGUCGGUUACCAUGUUUUAAUCAUUGAACUUUUCCCUUUGCUUAAACAAUCUCCAACUGAGAUAUCAUGCAAGUGGCCGAGCAUUCAUGAGGUGCAAGGGACAUCCAUGAUAGCCACUUCUAGCAUAUCAUCUCUGAAAAAGUUAUCCACCAAUCCAUUACAAGGAUUAUGGUCCAGAACACUGUUAUUCAUUCGCUUCACAUUGGUUUCAACUUUUCUACCAUAAUAUAUAUAUAUAUAUAUAUACAAUUUGA